rnacentral:snRNA from 1 species
ACAGAGAAGAUUAGCAUGGCCCCUGCGAAAGGAUGACACGCAAAUCCGUGAAGCGCUCCAUAUUUUA